rnacentral:hammerhead_ribozyme from 1 species
AUCCAGCUGACGAGUUCCAAAUAGGACGAAACGCGCAUUCUGGAU